rnacentral:tRNA from 1 species
CCUUGAUGACUCAGACAGUAAAGAAUCUGCCUGCAAUGCAGGAAACCCAGGUUCAAUCCCUGGAUCAGGAA